AAUACGUAGGCAGCAAGCGUUGUUCGGAGUUACUGGGCGUAAAGGGUGUGUAGGCGGUUCUCUAAGUCUGGUGUGAAAUCUCCCGGCUCAACUGGGAGGGUGCGCCGGAAACUGGAGGGCUAGAGUGCGGGAUGGGAAAGUGGAAUUCCUGGUGUAGCGGUGAAAUGCGUAGAUAUCAGGAGGAACACCUGUGGUGUAGACGGCUUUCUGGACCGCAACUGACGCUGAGACACGAAAGCGUGGGUAGCAAACAGGA
rnacentral:rRNA from 1 species